rnacentral:rRNA from 1 species
CUACGGGCGGCUGCAGCUAAGAAUCUUCCGCAAUGGGCGAAAGCCUGACGGAGCGACGCCGCGUGGGUGAAGAAGGCCGAGAGGUUGUAAAGCCCUUUUCUGCUUGAGGAAUAAGCAUCGGAGGGAAUGCCGGUGUGAUGACGGUAGGGCAGGAAUAAGCCCCGGCUAAUUACGUGCCAGCAGCCGCGGUAACACGUAUGGGGCGAGCGUUGUUCGGAAUCAUUGGGCGUAAAGGGCGUGUAGGCGGAAAUGCAAGUCUGGUGUGAAAGACCGCAGCUCAACUGCGGGACCGCGCUGGAAACUGCAUAUCUCGAGUUCCGGAGGGGGAGUUGGAAUUCCUGGUGUAGGGGUGAAAUCUGUUGAUAUCAGGAAGAACACCGGUGGCGAAGGCGAACUCCUGGACGAGAACUGACGCUGAGGCGCGAAAGCGUGGGGAGCGAACAGGAUUAGAUACCCCCGUAGUC